UGGGGAAUAUUGGACAAUGGGCGCAAGCCUGACCCAGCCAUGCCGCGUGAGUGAUGAAGUCCCUAGGGUUGUAAAGCUCUUUCACCGGUGAAGAUAAUGACGUUAACCGGAGAAGAAGCCCCGGCUAACUUCGUGCCAGCAGCCGCGGUAAUACGAAGGGGGCUAGCGUUGUUCGGAUUUACUGGGCGUAAAGCGCACGUAGGCGGACUAUUAAGUCAGGGGUGAAAUCCCGGGGCUCAACCCCGGAACUGCCUUUGAUACUGGUAGUCUUGAGUUCGAGAGAGGUGAGUGGAAUUCCGAGUGUAGAGGUGAAAUUCGUAGAUAUUCGGAGGAACACCAGUGGCGAAGGCGGCUCACUGGCUCGAUACUGACGCUGAGGUGCGAAAGCGUGGGGAGCAAACAGG
rnacentral:rRNA from 1 species